UUCGCCCUUAGAGUUUGAUCAUGGCUCAGAUUGAACGCUGGCGGCAUGCUUUACACAUGCAAGUCGAACGGCAGCGGGGGCUUCGGCCCGCCGGCGAGUGGCGAACGGGUGAGUAAUACAUCGGAACGUGUCCUUAAGUGGGGAAUAACGCAUCGAAAGAUGUGCUAAUACCGCAUAUCUCUCAGGAGGAAAGCAGGGGAUCGAAAGACCUUGCGCUAAAGGAGCGGCUGAUGUCUGAUUAGCUAGUUGGUGGGGUAAAGGCUUACCAAGGCAACGAUCAGUAGCUGGUCUGAGAGGACGACCAGCCACACUGGGACUGAGACACGGUCCAGACUCCUACGGGAGGCAGCAGUGGGGAAUAUUGGACAAUGGGCGCAAGCCUGAUCCAGCCAUACCGCGUGGGUGAAGAAGGCCUUCGGGUUGUAAAGCCCUUUUGUUGGGAAAGAAAUCCUGUCGGUUAAUACCCGGUAGGGAUGACGGUACCCAAAGAAUAAGCACCGGCUAACUUCGUGCCAGCAGCCGCGGUAAUACGAAGGGUGCAAGCGUUACUCGGAAUUACUGGGCGUAAAGCGUGCGUAGGUGGUUCGUUAAGUCUGAUGUGAAAGCCCUGGGCUCAACCUGGGAAUUGCAUUGGAUACUGGCGGGCUAGAGUGCGGUAGAGGAUGGCGGAAUUCCCGGUGUAGCAGUGAAAUGCGUAGAGAUCGGGAGGAACAUCUGUGGCGAAGGCGGCCAUCUGGACCAGCACUGACACUGAGGCACGAAAGCGUGGGGAGCAAACAGGAUUAGAUACCCUGGUAGUCCACGCCCUAAACGAUGCGAACUGGAUGUUGGGAGCAAUCUGGCUCUCAGUAUCGAAGCUAACACGUUAAGUUCGCCGCCUGGGGAGUACGGUCGCAAGACUGAAACUCAAGGAAUUGACG
rnacentral:rRNA from 1 species